rnacentral:tRNA from 1 species
AUUUAAAUAAUUUAUUUAAAAUAUUGAUUUGUGGAAUCAAAUAUGUUAUUUUUAACUUUAAAUU